rnacentral:rRNA from 1 species
AGAGUUCGAUCCUGGCUCAGGAUAAACGCCGGCGGCGUGCCUAAUACAUGCAAGUCGAACGAGUGCAGCAAUGCACGAGUGGCGUACGGGUGAGUAACGCGUUGGGAACCUGCCCCCUCGACCGGAAUACCAGGAUGAAAAUCCUGCUAAUGCCGGAUACUGGCUCUGGACCGCAAGGUCCUCAGCUGAAAGGCGGCUUCGGCCGCGCAAGGGGAUGGUCCUGCGUCGCAUUAGCUAGUUGGCGGGAUAAAGGCCCACCAAGGCCGGGAUGCGUAGCCGAGCUGAGAGGCUAAACGGCCACAUUGGGACUGAGACACGGCCCAGACUCCUACGGGAGGCAGCAGUAGGGAGUAUUUGGCAAUGGGGGAAACCCUGACCGAGCAACGCCGCGUGCGCGAUGGAGCCCUUCGGGGUGUAAAGCGCUGUGAUGGGACUGGAACCGCCGCCGGAGGAAAUGCCGGCGGCCUGACGGCCCCUUUAGAAAGCAACUGCUAACUACGUGCCAGCAGCAGCGGUAAUACGUAGGUUGCAAGCGUUAUCCGGAAUUAUUGGGCGUAAAGAGUGAGCAGGCGGCUCUGUAAGCCGGGGGUCAAAUGCACGGGCUCAACCCGUGUUCGUCCCCGGAACUGCAGGGCUAGAGUACUGGAGAGGCAAGCGGAACUCCUCAUGUAGCGGUGAAAUGCGCAGAUAUGAGGAAGAACACCGGCGGCGAAGGCGGCUUGCUAGACAGCGACUGACGCUCAGUCACGAAAGCGUGGGCAGUAAAUAGGCUUAGAUACCCUAGUAAUCCACGCCGUAAACGUUGGGGACCAGGUGGUCGGGGCAUACCCGGCCGCCGAAGCAAACGCAAUGAGUUCCCCGCCUGGGUACUACGUUCGCAAGAAUAAAACUUAAAGGAAUUGACGGGGGCCCGCACAAGCAGUGGAGCAUGUGGUUUAAUUCGUGGCUACGCGGAAAACCUUACCUGGGUUUGACAUCCCGCUAAAGGCCCAAGAGAUUGGGAGAUAGUUAUAGCGGUGAACGGUGGCUACUUCUUGGAAUGCUGCUUAAUCCGCU